GAUGAACGCUGGCGGCGUGCCUAAUACAUGCAAGUCGAACGAGGUGCCUUUGUAGCAAUACGGAGGUAUCCUAGUGGCGAACGGGUGAGUAACGCGUUGGUGACCUGCCCCGAAGUCUGGGAUAACCCUGCGAAAGUGGGGCUAAUACCGGAUGUGGUCAUCGGAUUUAGAAACCGAUGUCUAAAGGAUUUAUUCGCUUCGGGAGGGGCCUGCGUCCCAUCAGCUAGUUGGUAGGGUAAUGGCCUACCAAGGCGACGACGGGUAGGGGACCUCAGAGGGUGGCCCCCCACAAUGGAACUGAAACACGGUCCAUACACCUACGGGUGGCAG
rnacentral:rRNA from 1 species